AUUGAACGCUGGCGGCAGGCCUAACACAUGCAAGUCGAGCGGAUGAAGGGAGCUUGCUCCUGGAUUCAGCGGCGGACGGGUGAGUAAUGCCUAGGAAUCUGCCUGGUAGUGGGGGAUAACGUCCGGAAACGGGCGCUAAUACCGCAUACGUCCUGAGGGAGAAAGUGGGGGAUCUUCGGACCUCACGCUAUCAGAUGAGCCUAGGUCGGAUUAGCUAGUUGGUGGGGUAAAGGCCUACCAAGGCGACGAUCCGUAACUGGUCUGAGAGGAUGAUCAGUCGCACUGGAACUGAGACACGGUCCAGACUCCUACGGGAGGCAGCAGUGGGGAAUAUUGGACAAUGGGCGAAAGCCUGAUCCAGCCAUGCCGCGUGUGUGAAGAAGGUCUUCGGAUUGUAAAGCACUUUAAGUUGGGAGGAAGGGCAGUAAGUUAAUACUUUGCUGUUUUGACGUUACCAACAGAAUAAGCACCGGCUAACUUCGUG
rnacentral:rRNA from 1 species